UACGGGGGGAGCAAGCGUUGUUCGGAUUUACUGGGCGUAAAGGGCGCGUAGGCGGCCACCGCAAGUCACUUGUGAAAUCUCCGGGCUUAACCCGGAAAGGUCAACUGAUACUGCGGGGCUAGAGUGCAGAAGGGGCAACUGGAAUUCUCGGUGUAGCGGUGAAAUGCGUAGAUAUCGAGAGGAACACCUGCGGCGAAGGCGGGUUGCUGGGCUGAUACUGACGCUGAGGCGCGAAAGCCAGGGGAGCGAACGGG
rnacentral:rRNA from 1 species